GCUGAGCCCUUCCGCUGCUCAAACGGAUCCUCGUCCAUGUGGCUGUGCCUUUGCUGAUUGGAUCUGCUUCAUUCCCCGUGGGCAGGGUCUCAAAUAGAUGUGGCUGCGUUUACCGUAUGACUAUCUGCACUGACCGAAGACAGACAGACCGACCACACGGCCAACGCGGACCCGGACCCUCCCACUGAAGCCAUGGCCCACUACAGCAGUGAAAAGGACUGGUGCAGGCGUUUGUACUGUACUUCACACUCACCGCUGGAGAAACACAUCCAUUAAUACUGAAAGUGUCAUCUUAGCUACAGUUUCCAGUGAUGCAUCGGCGGUGCCCACGAGGAAAUCGGCGCUGAGAGCGUUUCUGAAAUCAAAGGCUAAAUGUGGAAAAACACACGGCUGGAUCCGAAGUCAAACACCAUCACCGCUGUGCCAAGUCAUUUCUAUUAGUCAUGUAUCAGGAUGCAUAUAAACAAAUAAACAGGCAGCAUCUAAUGCUGAAGUGGAUGCAUAUGUGUAUUAUAAAUACGUGAUGGCAAUAGGAGUGUUUUUAACACAUUGCACAGUACCUCUGAAUAUUAAACAGACCGGUAAACAAUGAACCAGCAUUAGAAAUGUGAUUAUUCUUUUAUAUCAUGAAGGUAUUUGGUCACGUUAGUUGUACAGUAUCAGCUGUUAUAUUAUGCGAUGUUGUAAAAAUUCCCAGAAUGGUAACCAAUGGAAUUUUCUUGAAUGAUGGAAAGUUGGUGUUCAAAUAUUAAAUCUGCACUUCAGCAUCGCCUAUUGUAAUUGCUGAACUGGUGGGGCCGUUCCUAGGCUUUUUCUGCGUGAACAGAACCAUGUCGAUUAAAACACAGCCCACCCCCUCGUCGACUGUUCAGGCUCGUGCCAUCUGGCACUGAGGCAUCAAAGUAUUCAAACAAAAAAAAUCCAACUCUUCAUUCCGCACGCCAUCACGUUUCUACCACAUUGUCAAAGCCUGCACCAAUGCUGCCACGGUUCCAGUAGCAUCGUCGCGUCUUGUCUAGUUUCCUGGUUUACUUUCUACUUCCUGUGUUCUAGCUUUAUGCUAA